AUGGAUCUGGGCCAUCCAACUGCAUGGAACUGCCAACGGGAACCAAUGAAAGAAACAGGUUGCCAUGCCUUUGGGUAGCAGACGAAAUCAUUUACCUUGCUUCCUUUUCACUCACUACUUUGAGUAGACCAAACAGAUCGUGGCAGAAAAAUCCUCAUUCUGCCCAAAACCAACGGUGACAAAGGAGACGGCAUCUAGUCCAUGGAAAUUGAAUAACUGCAUUUUCCUUUUAAGUGAGAGGAUGCAGUAAAGAAUCUAAUUUGAGCACCUUAAUGAUCAGCCAAAGACUGUGGAUUUCAGGAUUGUCCAUUGGAACAAAUACAACCAUUGUAUAUAUGCUGUGCUUAGUCGCUUCAGUCGUGUCCAAUGCUUUUCGACCUCAUGAACU